GUGCUCACUUCAGCAGCACAUACUAAAACUGGAACAAUACAGAGAAGAUGAGCAUGGGCCCUGCACAAGGAUGACACACAAAUCCCUGAAGCGUACCAUAUUUUU
ensembl:snRNA U6 U6 spliceosomal RNA